rnacentral:rRNA from 1 species
AGUGAACGCUGGCGGUAGGCCUAACACAUGCAAGUCGAACAGCAGCACAGUAAGAGCUUGCUCUUACGGGUGGCGAGUGGCGGACGGGCGAGGAAUACAUCGGAAUCUACUUUUUCGUGGGGGAUAACGUAGGGAAACUUACGCUAAUACCGCAUACGACCUACGGGUGAAAGCAGGGGAUCUUCGGACCUUGCGCGAUUGAAUGAGCCGAUGUCGGAUUAGCUAGUUGGCGGGGUAAAGGCCCACCAAGGCGACGAUCCGUAGCUGGUCUGAGAGGAUGAUCAGCCACACUGGAACUGAGACACGGUCCAGACUCCUACGGGAGGCAGCAGUGGGGAAUAUUGGACAAUGGGCGCAAGCCUGAUCCAGCCAUACCGCGUGGGUGAAGAAGGCCUUCGGGUUGUAAAGCCCUUUUGUUGGGAAAGAAAAGCAGCAGGUUAAUACCCCGCUGUUCUGACGGUACCCAAAGAAUAAGCACCGGCUAACUUCGUG